AUUAAUUACUGAUAUUAGUAUCAGUACAUCAGUAAUAUAUGUACCAUCUACUUCAGUUAUAGUAUCAUCUUCCAGUACUGACUCAUCAUUACAUACUAAUACAGUAACAAGUUUAUCAACACUCACUACUACUGAUGGUACUUCUACUAUCAGUAUUACUGGAGAUACUAGUACAUCAAUGGUGACAUCAUCAACUAUGAUACCUUCCAGUACUAUCAGUAUUGCUACUGGUUCUAGUACUGUUCCUAUUAUAUCAGGAGCUAUUGGAACAGUAUUUGUUAUUAUAAUAAUAAUUAUUAUUAUAUUAAUAAUAAUACUGGUAUAUGCUAAAAGACACAGAUUAAAGAACAAAGAAAGAUAUACAGCAAAUGGUAAUGAAAACCAG